rnacentral:sRNA from 1 species
CUGGUUCAUCUCACAGCUCUGCUGCACGCUGGUUCAUUAGCUCCGCCAUCAUCGUGAUGGAUGUCAGUGGCUUCCCCCAGGUGGCUCCGCUUUCCCCCGUGUAAGACAGAAUAAUAAGCGCAUCUGCUCCGUUCGCUGCAGGCGCUUGAUGAAAUGGCUGCUGCUGCUGCUGCUAUUACAGCAGGGCUAGUCAUGCUGUUGUUGAUUACUGCUUGAAAGCCCAGUCCCAGCUGAGUCAGGGAGCACUGCCUGGCUCUGUGGGGACCUGGGGCCUCCUGCUGUGGACUCAGAUCCGCUUGUCAGGGGACCCCCAGCGUGGGGCUGGCAGGUCACACGGUCCCCACCUCUGCCCACAGAUCACCGCAGUGUGCAACUUCUUCACCUACAUCCGCUACAUCCAGCAAGGCCUGGUGCGGCAGGACGCAGAGCCCAUGUUCUGGGAGAUCAUGAGGCUACGGAAGGAGAUGUCACUGGCCAAGCUCGGCUUCUUCCCCCAGGAGGCUUAGGGCAUGGCCCAGGCCUGAAGGGGAGCUCUGAGACAGAGCAAACGCCCACCCCAGAACAAGCCGACACACAGGGAGACGGGGGCCUGGAGCCAGCCCUGAGCCAGAUGCAGAAUGGAUGGACAGACAGGCCAUGGAGGCGGCACUGAGCCCGCACCACACGUCCAUCCUGGGACAGACAGAGGGACAGACGGCCCUGGACUUCACGGCAAGACCCCCCUCUCCUCCCCACUGGGUUCUGCCACCACCAGGAGGAUUUCAAGAAAGCACCAAAGACCAGGGAGCUUGGAUCCAUACUCGGGGGCCCUCAGCCCUUGGGAGGGGACACCUGAGGCAGCCAGCACCCCCCUCCCCAGUCCCCAGAA